rnacentral:rRNA from 1 species
UACGGGGGGGGCAAGCGUUGUUCGGAAUUACUGGGCGUAAAGGGCGCGUAGGCGAUUUAACAAGUCUUGUGUGAAAGCCCCGGGCUUAACUCGGGAAGUGCACAAGAAACUGUUGAAUUUGAGUUCCGGAGAGGAAGGCAGAAUUCCCGGUGUAGCGGUGAAAUGCGUAGAUAUCGGGAGGAAUACCAGUGGCGAAGGCGGCCUUCUGGACGGAUACUGACGCUGAGGCGCGAAAGCCAGGGGAGCAAACGGG